rnacentral:rRNA from 1 species
AGUGAACGCUGGCGGUAGACCUAACACAUGCAAGUCGAACGGCAGCACAGUAAGAGCUUGCUCUUACGGGUGGCGAGUGGCGGACGGGUGAGGAAUACAUCGGAAUCUACUUUUUCGUGGGGGAUAACGUAGGGAAACUUACGCUAAUACCGCAUACGACCUACGGGUGAAAGCAGGGGAUCUUCGGACCUUGCGCGAUUGAAUGAGCCGAUGUCGGAUUAGCUAGUUGGCGGGGUAACGGCCCACCAAGGCGACGAUCCGUAGCUGGUCUGAGAGGAUGAUCAGCCACACUGGAACUGAGACAAGGUCCAGACUCCUACGGGAGGCAGCAGUGGGGAAUAUUGGACAAUGGGCGCAAGCCUGAUCCAGCCAUACCGCGUGAGUGAAGAAGGCCUUCGGGUUGUAAAGCCCUUUUGUUUGGAAAGAAAAGCAGCACGUUAAUACCCCGCUGUUCUGACGGUACCCAAAGAAUAAGCACCGGCUAACUUCGUG